GCCAAUUUUUAUGAUCAGAAGAUCAUACCAAGCUCAUAUGCCGUUGUCUUGUCCAAGGGCAAAGAGCAAGAGAACGCCAUUAAAGAGUUCAACGAAUUGCUUACUGUGCUUGAAGAAGGCAUAGAGAAGGAUUUCUCAACAAAAUUCCCUUUCAAUGGUGAGAGAGAGACCUUGGGAUUUCUUGACAUAGUUGUAGGUGCACAUGCUUGCAACUAUCGAGCUCUUGAAGAGGCUGUUGCUGUGGUUGUUGAGCCAAAAGAGCACCCAGCUUUUCUCUCCUGGGUGACUAAACUGAAGGAGUACCCUUUGAUGAAGGAAACACUCCCUCCACAUGACAAACUGGCUGCCAGAAUGAGGGAAAGGUUUUCCCUGGCCUCUAAGAGGAAUAUAGCAACACUAUAAUUACGAUUCUACCUUAUGGCAAUCUACCAUUACGUGUAACGGUGU
rnacentral:misc_RNA from 1 species